AGUGAACGCUGGCGGUAGGCCUAACACAUGCAAGUCGAACGGCAGCACAGUAAGAGCUUGCUCUUACGGGUGGCGAGUGGCGGACGAGUGAGGAAUACAUCGGAAUCUACUUUUUCGUGGGGGAUAACGUAGGGAAACUUACGCUAAUACCGCAUACGACCUACGGGUGAAAGCAGGGGAUCUUCGGACCUUGCGCGAUUGAAUGAGCCGAUGUCGGAUUAGCUAGUUGGCGGGGUAAAGGCCCACCAAGGCGACGAUCCGUAGCUGGUCUGAGAGGAUGAUCAGCCAAACUGGAACUGAGACACGGUCCAGACUCCUACGGGAGGCAGCAGUGGGGAAUAUUGGACAAUGGGCGAAAGCCUGAUCCAGCCAUACCGCGUGGGUGAAGAAGGCCUUCGGGUUGUAAAGCCCUUUUGUUGGGAAAGAAAAGCAGCAGGUUAAUACCCCGCUGUUCUGACGGUACCCAAAGAAUAAGCACCGGCUAACUUCGUG
rnacentral:rRNA from 1 species